UCCCUCUCAGGAUCGCAUCUGGAGAGAUUCCAGUUCUCUACCUGUCUCGACUAUGGGAGGGAGAGUCAAGCAGAGGCAUAUUCAUUCCAUUCCUAGCUUGGGCAGUAGCUACUGAGUGGAAGGCAAUCUGCUACAAGU